rnacentral:misc_RNA from 1 species
GAAGAAAGCAAUGACGAAGGCUUUUGUAAUCGAGUACCAGAAUUUGAACUCGGGGAGACGCCGUGAGAACGGCCGGAACUCAUCCGACGACUUCGUCGGCAGCGACGGCCCAGACGGAUCAAGCAGCUCCUGGAUCUCCGGAUCCUCCUGCGGCGACAGGAACGCAAUGAGGAGGUUGAGAACGUAGAUGCCAAGCCCGUAGGUGACGACAUAGAAGCCCUGGACUAGGAACACGCGGAGGAGGUACGCGGCAGCGAGGAAGCCGAGCCAUCCCCAUCGUUUGGCGACGAAGGGCGUCGAUUUGUCGAGGAAGUGCUGGUACCGCCGUGACAACGCGGCGGUGCGGGCGGAGAGGAAGGCAACGCCGGCGGGCGGGGAGGAGCUCGAUCCUGGAUCGCCGGCGGCGGCGGCGGUGGAGGGAUCCAGCAUCGUGGGUUCCGGCCGAUGGAUCGUUCACCG